CCCCCGCCAAGACAAUCACUGUUAACUAUGUAGGGUACUUCUAUAGACUCUUUUUGCAUUUUUUAUUUUUUAUUAUGGAAAUAUUCAAAUGUACACAAAAGUAGAAAUAGUAUAAUGAAGCCCAAUGUUCCCAUCAUCCAACUUCAACAAUCAACAUUGACAAUGCUUUGUAACAUAUUUGACAUCACAAUGUAUUUAGUGAUUUUAAAAAUUAUUUAUUAUUUUUAAAAAAUAAAAAAUCAUUAAAAACCCAAGCAGUAUGGAAAGAUAAAAAUAAAAAUCCUCUUCCUCUCCCAAGACCCUUAAUUCCAGUGCUCAGAAAUAACUUCACAGUUUUUAAUGUAUCAAUUUAGACAUUUUUUAUAAAUAGAUUAUAUAUUUUUUGCAAACUUAAAACAUUUUCACACACAAGAAAUCAGACCAUACAUAUUCAUGCUUGCUUUCUCCACUUACUAUAUCUUGGACUUCUUUAGAAGUAAAUACCUUGAGGUGGCCUGCAUUCUUCAACAGCUACAGUGUUCCACUGGAAAGCAUGCUUAACCCAGGAAAGUGGGGAGGGUGAGAGCUAGCUGAUUUGGAAGAAAUGUAGAUUCUGUCUGCAAAGCCAGAGGUUUACAAAGUGGGUUGUGUACACACCAAGGUAUGUGCAAAAUGGCCCAUUCAAAUGUGGGAAGAAAUAUUAUAACUUUCAUUAAUUUUUAUGUCAUCCCUUAAAAUUUUUGCAUAUUUUAAAACAUACAUAGUAACAGUGCAAUAAUAUAUUUGCAUAAUUUAUAAAUAAAUAUUUCCGUAUUAGGAGUGUGUACUCAAGAUUUUUAAGCAUGGGAUACAAGAUCAACAAAGUUGGAGACCACUAUCCCAAGCAGCUGUUUUGAGUGCCACAGAAAGCAGAGCUGCUUGUAAGAGUGAACGAGUAGGCUAACGACCUGUUCUCCGAAUCUCUGUGACCCAUUGUCCGUCGGUCCAAAAUAUUGUAACAGAUGUGAAACUCCAAGCCCAGUGAGAAUUGUCUAGAUAAGGAGAACCUAUUCCCGGCUGGGGACCCUAUGGAGGUACCCACCAUCUAAGCAGCAAUUCCCAAAACAUUUCUGCAGAACCCAAACUCUUCAGGGGGAAAAAGAGUGUAAGAGUUACCUGGUUGGGAGCACUACACAUUGUAAGGCUCUCUCAGAGAUCACCCUCAGUGUUCGUAGAGGCUCUAAGAGGCACCUCAUUUAAAAAAAUCAAUAAAUGAAAAUAAAAGCGAGCAAAAAACGUGUUUGAUUUUAACUCAGCAUUUCCAUUUAACUCUGGAAGCCAGACCCCCUUCCAACUUUUUCUUUCUGAUAUAUUUGUUUAAAAACCUGUGGAACUGGGGGCUGGCCCCGUGGCCGAGUGGUUAAGUUCGCGUGCUCCACUGCAGGCAGCCCAGUGUUUCAUUGGUUCGAAUCCUGGGCACGGACAUGGCACUGCUCAUCAAACCACGCUGAGGCAGCGUUCCACAUACCACAACUAGAAGAACCCACAACGAAGAAUAUACAACUAUGUACCGGGGGCCUUUGGGGAGAAAAAGGAAAAAAUAAAACCUUUAAAAAAAACCUAUGGAGGGGCUGGCCCCAUGGCCGAGUGGUUAAGUUCGCGCGCUCCGCUGCAGGCGGGCCAGUGUUUCGUUGGUUCGAAUCCUGGGCGCGGACAUGGCACUGCUCCUCAGACCACGCUGAGGCAGCGUCCCACAUGCCACAACUAGAGGAACCCACAACGAAGAAUACACAACUAUGUACCGGGGGGCUUUGGGGAGAAAAAGGAAAAAAUUUUUUUAAAAAUCUUUAAAAAAAAAAAAAAAACCUAUGGAACUGGAAUUUUGUGGAAAAACUUUAUAGAGAAACGUCGGUGAGCAGGGUGCUGCAGGAAAAUACCAUCUACAAAAUAUUGAACAUCCACUUUUCCUUAUGAAAUAGUCAAAUAAAAAAUACCAUAGGUGAUUUAGCUCAAGAAAACACUUGUCCACACACACAAAGAAACUAGGGCCUCCCCAUUUAAUUUCUAAUUUGAGCUUUCUGAAUCCAUUUCUUCUGCCAGGAGUUAUAAUUUGUUGCUUACACGCUCCAAAGCUAAGCAGUUCUUUUCCCAUUUGUGCAAAACGUGGUGGGUAUGUUUUAUAUUCUAUAAAUAUAAGUGCAUAUUCGAUUUUGAAAGAAAAUUUCUCCCCGGGGGUAAGGAGAGGAGAUGUGCGGCCAGGGGAUUUAGAAUCAGAGAUGUUAAAAGUUAGAAGUAUGGGGUUGUAAUGAGACUAACACUUGUGCUUAUCUUGUAAAACUAGCUUCAUUGCCUAUUUACAGAGCACACACCCUUUAUAAAAAUACAAAUGGUUAUUGAACGGUUAUUACAGCCAAGUUCAAGGACAUGGAGAUUAAGGAAGUGCAGUUCUGUAGAAGAACCAAGAGGGAAAGGACAAUCUGGGCACAGGGAAAAACAUACCCACUGGCCUGAAAGUACAACAAAGAGUGAAACAGUCAAGGAACUGCCCUAUAAUCACAUCAUGUCUAAAGGCUUGUGACUAGUUAGAACAAAAUUUACCAAAACUCCAAAUUCAGCUCAAGCAUCUCUCCUUUGGGAAGUCAUCUUGGCUCACAUAUGCAUCUCCUCUGAGCUCCUAGCCACGAGGUAUUUGUAUAUUUUACAGCCCAAAUCCUUCUGUAUAAUAAUUACUGGUCUCCUUCUUUCCACUGGACUAUGAGCUCCCUGAGAGCAUGGAUUGCAGUCCCUGGAGAGCGUGAGAACAAAAUGCAGUUGGUUGAUAAGGGCAGGGGAAUCGAAGUAGCCACUGAGCAUGGAUGAUUCUUUCAAGAGCUCAGCUUAGAUGAGGCAGGAUUCCAUUGCAAUGUGGCAUUUGCAAUAUCAGAAGGAUGCAUAGAAAGCCAGACAGCAGAGAUCAGAGGGACAGACACCUCACUUAGCACGGGAGGAGGUUAGAUGUCCUGAUCCGGAGUUUAUGGUAGUCAUGAUACAGAGGUCAAGGUCUGAAAAGCCAAGUCCCUUUCACAACUCCCAAAUUGUUGGGCCAACAUUCUCAAGAACAAUAACCAAGUAUGACAUCUGCCAAAGUACAAGCCAGCUCUUCGGUAAAUGAAUAAAAUGCCAAGCAAAAAAGAAAAACCAUUAAAAAAAUAUACAAAGGAGUCUGAAUGGCUCUGUUUACAUACGAUAAAAUCGAGAGUAAAAAAUAUUACCUUUCCCCAAAGAAAAAUUAGCUCUCAGUGCCCUGUAUAUAACCAUUUGACAUUAUUUAAAAUCCUAUUUGACCUAUUUAACCUCUCUUCAUCCUUCAGAUUUGGGCUCCAGCACCACUUUCUUGGGGAAGCGUUCCCUGAACUGCCUGACGAGGUCCCACCUCCUCUCUCAGUCCCAUCCCUGCAUGACCAGCUCUUGGAUCACCAAAGGCCUCCCCCUCAUAGCACUUGUCAUGGUUGGAAUUGCACAUAUAUUCACUUGAUUAUCUGAUUACUAUUUGUCUCACCUACCAGACCGUAAGCUUCAGGAGGGCAGGCACAUUGUUAAGUUCACUACUGUAUUCCUAUCAUCUAGCAGAGGCCCUGGCACAACCAAGUGCUUAAGAAAUACCUGUUGAAUGAAUAACUGAGGUAACUAGUCCAUGCAAAUCAACAAUAUGCAUACCAUAGAAGCCAAAGAAUUCCAAACAGCCUCUGAUAAGAUUUUUCAGGAGAUAAGGGAAAAAAUUAACAGGUUAAUUCUCUUAAUCAGAGGUGCUACUAAGAAAUGAAAACUACAAUCACAAAACUAAAUAAUGAAAAAUUAAUCACAGUACAUUGACACUUUAAUUAAUAAAAACUGGCCUUUUGUGUUUAGAAAUACAAAGGCGGCUAAAUCCCACGCCCAAAAGGCAGGGGAGAAAAGAAUAAUAAAAAAUACAUUUAGAAUGAAGAAUAAUAUUGCUUAAUUUGCUCAGUAUUACCAAAUACUUCCAAAUACCAAUUACAAAGGCUUCACUUUUCCAAAAUGAUUUCUAAAACUCAUGGAAUGGAAGCACUUUUUCUACAAGACAACCUACACUAUAUCAAAUUAUUCUAAUUUCUUUACACUGAGAUCAAACACUUCCAGGAUACCUUUUUUAACAUACAUUUCCACCUCUGGGGACCAUUAUGAUUUUAACAAGAGCGAGCAGAAUCUAGUUUACUGUACUGAGCUACUUAACAUAUAUUCUAAUAUGGGACACAUAGGUUAAAUGUGGAUAACCUGAUCACUCUCCCUGACAUAUUUUAACAGAAAAUAAACAUUUUCCUUAAACAGUUAGCAAGCUCCACAAAAACUAGUGAGCAAGGAAGGAUCUAACAGCCUGCUUGCUAAGAUUGCUGAAUGACUGAGAGCUCAGGCAUUCACCCUAGCAGUUGAAAUCAAUUAAUCAUUCAUUGUAACUGGAGCAGAAUAUAAUUAAUUAUGUUAGCCUGACUGGUUCAAGCCUAAUUCCGCUAAAAAAAAUCAUUACAAAAAAUCAUUAUGAAUAUAGGCCAUUAUCAUGAAUUAUUGCUAAAGUAAAAAGUCAUGAAUGAGUUUCUAUACAAAUUUGAUCCACAUUUUAAAAACUUUUAUGGAAAAUUUUGAAUGUAAUCACAGGUAGAGAAUAUAGUAUAAUGCAUCCCCAAGUACCCAUCAUGCAGCUUCAACAAUUAUUAACUCACAGUCAAUCUUGUUUCAACUAUACGCACACACACUAGCCAACUCCAACUCCCCAAUUAUUUUUAAGCAAAUCCUAAACACCAUUAUCAAUUCAUUUCUAAGUAUUUCAAUUUGCAUCUCUAAAAGUGCUCCUUUUAAAAAUGUAACCACCGUAUACUUAUCACACCUAAAAAUUGUAAAAACCCUUAAAAUCAUCAAAUAUCCAGUUAGUUUUCAUAUUUCCCCAAUGGUCUCAUUUUUUAUUUGUUCAAAUGAAGAUUGAAAUAAGUCCAUAAAUUGUAUAGACUUAAGCCCUUAAGUCCCUUACAUCUUUUUUAAUCCAUCUUUUUCUUUUUUUCUUGCAAUUCUGUUGUUAAAGAAACAGGGUCAUUCGUCCUGUAGUUUUCCAGUCUGGAUUUUGUGGUAUCAUUUAACAUGUUCCUUUGUUUCCUGUAUUUCUAGUAAAGAGGUGGUUAGGUCUAGAGGCUUAAUCAGGAUCAGAUUCAACUUUUGGCAGGACUCUUUCAUAAGCGGUAUGUGUAUUUCCUUUAGGAGGAACAAAAAGUUUGACUGCAACUUGUUUGUGAAGUUAGAAGUCACUGGUGAUCACGGGGCGGGGGUGGGGGGCGGUAUAAUGGUGAUAUUCUAUCAUUCCUCUUUAACUUAUUAGCUGGAAUAUUUCUUUAAGAGCAUAUUCCAAAGGGAAUUAUGAUUUUAUAAACUAUUAUUAUUAGCUCAUAGAGUAAAACACAAUAUGAGUUUCAAUCUCUUGCAGAUGUUAUCCCUUACUGAUGCACUGAUGCUAAAAUUAUCUCAGCUUUGGCCAGUAGACACUUGUUCAAGAUGCCUCCUGAAUCCUUUUCAACAGACUUCUAAUAGCUUCUUUGCUUUCUGGUAUGACAGAGUGUUUUCUAGGCUCUUCUUGUACGCUUCUUUCCCUAGACCUGGAAUUAGCUAUUUAUCCAAGAAAGUCUGGUUUCUUUGAAGAAAAUGGUAUUAGAGACAAUAAUCAGGGCACUACAUUUGACUUUUAUUAGAAUUAUGUCCAAAGCUCAUAAAGUCAGUUAAGCAGGAGUCUUCCACUAUUGUUUCUAAUAAAUUCAUGUAGCUGCAUACAUGUGAAUUUUUAAGCGUGGGGUUCUCAGAUUAAAAAAAAUUUAGCUAUAUGAUAAUAUGCGAACAGUGGAAGUAUUCUUACAUGUUGAUGGUAGAAGUAUCUAUCUGGAAGACAACAUCAUAAUUUUUAUCAAUGACCUUUAAAAAACCUUUAAUCUAACAACUCCACUUUUAGGAAUUCAUUUUAUUAUUACGCUUAGAAUUUCCCUUCUAGGACUGUUUAAAAUAAUGUAUAAUCUGAAAACCUAAGCAUCCAAACAAGAAGGAAUUGGUUAAUUUUAAAAAUGUACAAUAUAGCCACAGAAGGAAAUAUUUAGUCAUUAAAAUGAUGUAGAUACGAUAUCAAUGUAGUGUUAAAGGUGGGUUACAAAAGUGUGCAUAUGCCUUUAGCCACAUGCAUAGAAAAAAGUCUUGAAGGCCAAAUCCCAAAAUCUUAAUGCAAACUGGGCUCACGUUUCUACUGCUGGUUUAGGAUUUGGCUUUCCUGGGUCCGCCAAGUCAGAUACUACUCUUCCAUCUGCUUUCCAGUUUCCAAAAUUUUGUUCUUAUUAUCUUCUCUUCAGUAUUCCUUGUUCCUUGUUGGAUUAUGCUUUGUUCUUUCCCCAGUCACUGUGAUUUUAGUGGAGAUUUUAGGAAAGAGCAAAGGCUAACAAGUACUUUGCUCAACUCUCCAUUUUUACCUAGCAUCCCAUUGCUUUUUAUAGGAGAGAACAGACAUUCUGAAGAGUUUAUCAACUAUAAAAUAAAUGAAUUUCUACUGAAAU
rnacentral:lncRNA from 1 species